rnacentral:rRNA from 1 species
CAUGCAAGUCGAACGAAUCCCGGGGGGGUAACUCUCCGGGGGAAGUGGCGAAAGGGGCAGUAAGGCGUGGGUAACCUACUCCGGGGAUGGGCAUAGCCGUUCUAACGGACGGGUAAUUCCCAGCGAUCUGGCAGGGGGGCAUCUCCCGGCCAGGAAACGAACCUCGCCUCGGGAGGGGCUCACGUGGUAUUAGCUGGUUGGUGGGGUAACGGCCCACCAAGGCCCAGAUGCCUAGCGGGUGUGAGAGCACGACCCGCGCCACUGGCACUGCGACACUGGCCAGACUCCUACGGGAGGCUGCAGUCGAGGAUCUUCGGCAAUGGGCGCAAGCCUGACCGAGCGACGCCGCGUGCGCGACGAAGGCCUUCGGGUCGUAAAGCGCUGUCGCGGGGGAGGAAAGCCGCAAGGCCUGACCGACCCCGGGAGGAAGCACGGGCUAAGUUCGUGCCAGCAGCCGCGGUAAGACGAACCGUGCGAACGUUGUUCGGAAUCACUGGGCUUAAAGGGCGCGUAGGCGGCCCGCCCAGUCCGAGGUGAAAGCCCCCGGCUCAACCGGGGAAGGGCCUUGGAUACUGGCGGGCUCGAGGGGGAUAGGGGCGGACGGAACUUCCGGUGGAGCGGUGAAAUGCGUUGAUAUCGGAAGGAACGCCGGUGGCGAAAGCGGUCCGCUGGGUCCCCACUGACGCUGAGGCGCGAAAGCCAGGGGAGCAAACGGGAUUAGAUA